UGCACAACCAUGAUUAAUAAACAACCAUGUUUGUACAAUUCCAAAACAAAUUCAGAGUAAACAUAAGAUACAAUAAUCAGAUUUCAGUUCAAAUACUCUAAAUGCACAUAACCAAUGAACAAUAUAUCAAGCAGAUAGCUUUUCACAAUACUUCUCAUAACACUUCUCCCCCUUUGUACAUUAACAAAAAAGGUAUGCUUCUAGAUAUGAUAUGUUGAUAAAUCAAUCAGAGAUGCAUCAAACAAAAUCUAUAAUCAGUUUAAAAACAUGCAGUGAUGCUCCCCCUAUCAUAUAUAUUAACAUGAAAAGAUAACUCCCCCUGAAGUGUAGUAUGUGAAGAAAUGUGUGCAAUUGUGUAAUGCUCCUGAUAAAGAUUGAAAAACCGUUAUUUUUAUACUUAAUUUCGAUAUCAAAUGCACCCUUGUUGACCUAGAAACUUGCUUUGACUCAUGAUUUUGCUUUAGUUUUGUGAAUAAUAGAAUUGAGGUUAUACUUUAUGAUUUUAUCAUUAAAUUCCCUUGAUUUUGUAGGUUUUUGGAAUGAUUUGAAAGAAGGGUUGAAUUAUCAAGGAAUUGCAGUGCAGAAAAGUCAAACAGAAUGCAGAAAAGUGAACCGGUCAAUCAGAAAAGUCAACUAGUCAACCAGAGUGCUGAAAAGUUAACCAGAAUGCAGAAAAAGUCAACAGAUCGUGAUUUGAUAUAUUUUCUGUGAUUUUUAUGAUCUUUUUGGGCUUUGACCUAUAUUCUAUUAUUUUUAUGUCCUAUUUAAAGACCUAGACACCCUAGAGAAUGUAUCUUUUGAUGGCUUAGGCAAAAAAACAGACUUCUUUUCUCUUUCUAGGGUUUCUAUAUCUUCCAUUCCAUUGUACACCUAGCUUCUUCAUGACGAUGGUGAACUAAUCUUAUUUGUUGCUAGGGAAAGAUGUAAC
rnacentral:lncRNA from 1 species